UGUGAUGUGUUCAUAGAUAAGCUUGACAAAGGUGAAGAUACCACAUGUUUUAUUGUUUAAGGCAGAAAAUUAAAGUUUAAAUCAAGAACUAUGCAUACAAAUGAAACAAGAACUACUCCAACACAUCAGUACAAACUAAGGUUUAGCAAAGGGUUUAUUCUGCUUUAUUUUUACUCGCGAGGGCGAUUUUUGCACUUUC
rnacentral:lncRNA from 1 species